CUCUGCAGGGCUGUCUCUGUGGGACGGGACUGUCUCUGCGGGGCGGGACUGUGCUGUCUGAGGGACUGCUCUGUCUCUAUAGGGCGGGGCUGUCUCUGCAGGGCUGUCUCUGCGGGGCGGGGAGGGGCAGGCCGGGGCCGUUCCAGCCGCUCCCGGAGCGGACGUGACGCGCGGGGCGCUCCGGGGCCGCCCCGCAGCGAUGGAGGCGCGGGAGCCGCUGCGGGACGUGCGCGGGGCGCUGCGGGCGGUGCUGGCGCGGCUGCGAGGUGCGGGCCGGGACCGAGGCCGGGGCCAGGGCCGGGCGGGGGUCGGGCCGAGCCGGGCCGGCUCCCCGCGGGCUGAGCUCUGUCUGUGCCGUUGCAGAGGGAGAGCCGGGCGAGGGCCGAGAGCCGUUCGAGCUGCCGCGCUUCUGGGACGCGCUAGGUCAGACAUUCCAAGUAACAUCACAGGAGGCUACAAAGCUGAGUCUGGCAUUCUCAAGGCCUCCACUACCUUCUGCAGAGGAUUGCCGGAAGCUGAGUGAGGAUGUCCAAAAUGCCGUCCUUGCAGUUGCCACAGUGUACUACUGGCUACCCAAGGGCCAAGGUGAUAUAAUGACUGCAAGGCAGUCACCACUGUAUAGCAUGGUGGUUCUUUCACCAUCACUAUAUAGAGAAACCCAGUGUUUCAGAGCCUAAUGAGGUCUGGUACCAGCAAGUUUUCAUUAGUAUGGUAUCCCGUUAUCAGCUAUUCUGUGGACUUUGAAUGUGUUUAUGAGUGAAGUACUUGUCUGUCUGCUGCUGAAGUUUUCUGUCUGUGGGACGGUGAUAAUGCAGGAAAUUGUAUAGUUGACUGAGCAUUCAAAUUUAUGAAGCAUUGAAGUCCUUGUCCAAACUUCUUUUGGAACUGGAAAGCAUUUUGCUUUCUUCAAAAUACUUGUAACUUCAUUUAUACAGUGUAUCUACACAAACAAGCAAUCUAUGUGUUCAUCUUCAGCACUUGUUUUCUGUCAGUGCUGACUUUGUGCUGGCUUUCUUGCUUUUUCUCAACUCAAC
rnacentral:lncRNA from 1 species